ACUGUUUCUUCUGUCUCCUGUUUUUCUUCCUAGGGUUUACCAGGUAUUGAUGGCCUUCCUGGACUUCAAGGUUCACAGCAACCGGAGUGUUGGCACAUUUUGCUAUCUAGGACUUAUCUAGGACAACACCAUAGCAACCAUUUGUGAAAGCACAGCAACCACCUAGGACACCACUACAACUGUCGAGCCAUGCCGCCUUGAAACCACUUCGCAACCACUUAGCAACAGAAGUGGGUCUUCCACUGCAUCGCUCAAAGAACCAUUUGUAGCAUCUCCGACAUUGCCUUGUCAUGAGCAUGCUGGCUAGCUUGUAAGUUCAUACUCACUCACAAGAUAACACCUCACACCAUAUACAGGUAAGGUAACACAUAAUAACACUUAAUAACACAAGGAUCACCUCUAGCCUUCUGUAUUUAAUCUUGCGACUCAUUAAACUCUUAUUUCUUUCGCAGGGAGCUCAUGGAGACCCGGGAGCACCUGGUCAUCGUGGUCGUCCCGGUCUGAAGGGUGAAAUAGGUGAUCCCGGUUUGAGGGGUCCUCCAGGUGAUCAUCUCAACAUGCCACCAGGUGAGGAGCCCUGAUCACUGGACUUUUACUAGAAUAUAUCCUAAUUUAUCUUCAGGGGCCGAAGUGCAGUUUGCAACACAGAAAACACGUGGAAGAAGGUGCUUUGUGGUCAGAUGAGACCAAAGUUACCCUGAACACACCCUCCCCCACUGUGAAACAUGGUGGUGGCAGCAUUAUGCUGUAGGAAUGCUUUUCUUCAGUUGAUGAGAAGAUGGAUGGAGA
rnacentral:lncRNA from 1 species